GGGGAUGACGGGUUUUGACAGAGCCCCGAAGUCCGAUGCUGCAGGUCGAGCCUGCCGGGGAGCUCGUAAAUCCCCCUGGCAAUCAAGUAACUGGCGAAGAGCAAACGCUCCCGCUCGCGGCCUAAGCCCCGCGACGUCCGGCCGGCCCGUCCCUAGCGGGGCGUUCCGGGCGCAAGGAAUCUAGGGUGCGUCGGUCAAGGCGCUCGCGUAGACCGACUAAGACACGCGGGCUGGUCGUGCGCCGUUGCGGCCGGAUAGCGACGCCACGGCGAGACUCUAAGAGUCCGGCUAAACCUGUAGAUGCAUCGGGGUGACCGGCUCUGGACGGGGCGUUCAACUCGCCCCCAUCUCCACCA
rnacentral:tmRNA from 1 species